rnacentral:rRNA from 1 species
AGUGGCGAACGGGUGAGUAACACGUGAGUAACCUGCCCUUGACUCUGGGAUAACUGCUAGAAAUGGUAGCUAAUACCGGAUACGACCCUCGGCGGCAUCGCCAGGGGGUGGAAAGAAUUUCGGUCAAGGAUGGACUCGCGGCCUAUCAGCUAGUUGGUGAGGUAACGGCUCACCAAGGCGACGACGGGUAGCCGGCCUGAGAGGGUGACCGGCCACACUGGGACUGAGACACGGCCCAGACUCCUACGGGAGGCAGCAGUGGGGAAUAUUGCACAAUGGGCGCAAGCCUGAUGCAGCAACGCCGCGUGAGGGAUGACGGCCUUCGGGUUGUAAACCUCUUUUAGUAGGGAAGAAGCGAAAGUGACGGUACCUGCAGAAAAAGCACCGGCUAACUACGUGCCAGCAGCCGCGGUAAUACGUAGGGUGCAAGCGUUGUCCGGAAUUAUUGGGCGUAAAGAGCUCGUAGGCGGUUUGUCGCGUCUGCUGUGAAAUCCCGAGGCUCAACCUCGGGCCUGCAGUGGGUACGGGCAAACUAGAGUGUGGUAGGGGAGAUUGGAACUCCUGGUGUAGCGGUGGAAUGCGCAGAUAUCAGGAAGAACACCGAUGGCGAUGGCAGAUCUCUGGGCCAUUACUGACGCUGAGGAGCGAAAGCGUGGGGAGCGAACAGGAUUAGAUACCCUGGUAGUCCACGCCGUAAACG